rnacentral:rRNA from 1 species
GAUGAACGCUGGCGGCGUGCCUAAUACAUGCAAGUCGAGCGAACAGACGAGGAGCUUGCUCCUCUGACGUUAGCGGCGGACGGGUGAGUAACACGUGGAUAACCUACCUAUAAGACUGGGAUAACUUCGGGAAACCGGAGCUAAUACCGGAUAAUAUAUUGAACCGCAUGGUUCAAUAGUGAAAGACGGUUUUGCUGUCACUUAUAGAUGGAUCCGCGCCGCAUUAGCUAGUUGGUAAGGUAACGGCUUACCAAGGCAACGAUGCGUAGCCGACCUGAGAGGGGGAUCGCCCCCCCUGGAACUGGGACACGGGCCAAACUCCUAGGGGAGGCAGCAGUGGGGAAUCUUCCGCAAGGGGCGAAAGCUUGACGGGGCAACGCCGGGGGGGGGAUGAAGUUUUUCGGAUCGUAAAACCUUUUUAUUAGGGAAAAACAAAUGUGUAAGUAACUAUGCCCGUCUUAACGGUCCCAAAUAAGAAAGCCACGGCUAACUACGG